GUUUUUCCUUCAUUUUUGCGGUUAUACUCAGUUCGUUGAUCUUUCUACAAUAUUUUUAUUUCUUUGCAGAGGGUGUUAUAGUUAAAGUCAGAACGUUGCAACGCAGUGAAUGAUACAUUUCCGACCAACCCUUUUUUAUGGUUAGCCAUUUGAUUUACAGUGACGACCAUUUCGACUACCGGAACGCAUGUCCUUUAUGGGUCGUUAGAUGGACUGGUUCAGGUGCCGACCAAUUCGAGACGGACCGCACCGGACCCCAUGGAUUGUGCCUCUAUUUAUCACAAUUUAUUUACGGUUUAUCAAAGCGUAGCACCUGCGACACAAUUGUCCGGCAAAAAUGUUUUGAAAUUCAAAUGGAGAUGGCAGAGCUACGCCUUUCAUCAAAUAAAUGAAGAAUAUUCAAGACUACCAGAGCUUUCAAAGUUUAUUUUUGCACGCACCGACCUGGCUUGACCAUGGAAAUGGAUGUAGAUGUGGAGGUGGAUGGGAACGUGAAUGUGGAUGUGGACGGGGCUGUGGACAUGGACAUGGGCACGCAUCCACACACGUCACAGCCGACUGCCCAAAUCAAGCAAAGCUCAAUCCACCCACCAGAACACACGCACUGCCACAGUCAGCCAUCCCAUCCGAAACUUGUCUGUGCGGAGGUAAUUUGGUUUCAUCUUUCUGUUUGUGAAGUAAGACCCCCAUCCUUGCAUCGCUUGAGGGCAUCAAAAGCGCUUGACUUUUGGAUGGCAGCGUGAGGAACUUUGAAGAAGAUAUUAGAACGGAUGAUGGAUGAGAUGAGCUGGGAUAAGACGUGUAGA